rnacentral:rRNA from 1 species
GGAGAUGAAUACCACGUAGUGAAGUCCUCGGUUGCGGUGGUGACCUGCCACCGUCGGGUUGUUGGUUGAGGUAUAGGGGAGCUGGGGAAGUAGAGCCGAAGAUGUAGGUACGGGUCCAUGCUGCCGCCCCGCCGUUGUCACCGCCCCUCCGCGUUCUAGACUCGACGCUACGCCUCGCCGAGCUGCAUGUUCUCGCGACGACGCGGGUCCAGGUCCUCGUUCUAACGUGCCCACACGGCCCUCCGUCGGCGUCUGGUGCCGCUCCUCGCACCGGCACGUCUCCUCCACUACCGGUGUGGUUUGUCGCCGGUGAGUUCUUUAGUUGUCGAAGGGUAUUACCUCGUGUUCCGGGAUAACACCAAUCGGGACAAUAUCUAGUUAUCGAAGAGUACUACUACUACUACUUCGAUACAAGGUUCCUACUCAAACUAAGUUAGCAUUGACUUCUGAUCUUCUACUACGGAUCUUGUGACUCCACUUCUUACCUUCUACUAUGUACCAAGAUGGGCACGCACGAACUACAACACGAUACGGUAAAACACCCUUUGAUUCUGACUCUUACUACAACACAACAACGAUACAGUAAAGCGCUACUGACUUUUAACACAUGAAUACAAAUAAGCUACAAUACAGUAAAACACUCUUACACUCUCUAAUAAACCACUAGACGUGAAAGGUCACAGUAGAACACUCUUAGGUUC